AGUAACAUCAUCCUGUGUAAGGGUUUGUCCUUCUGCUGUGUUCCACACAGGGAGAAGCAGGGCCAGAUGGACCAGUUGGCUGUAAAGGGCCCCCAGUAUGUCUCUUUGUUUUAUUUCUGUCAUUGAGACUUCCUUUUUUCUUUCAGAUAUUUGUUCAAACUGAACAGUCAUUCUUCUGUGUAUUGUUUUUCUCAUAGGGUCCCAUAGGAUUGUCAGGACAGAGAGGCUCUCCUGGACUUCAAGGAAUCCAAGGACAUCCAGGGAGGUAUGGUCUUCCAGGUCAAAAAGGUGACAUGGUAAGUUUAGUCACGUUCAUCUUCUGUUUAAUAAAAUUAAUCUCUUGUCAAAACCCACAUAGGCCCAGUCAUAAAUCAACCCCUGCCUCUAUCCCCUAGACACUUGCUGAUGGCACCUGGUAGGACUUGGUUUAGUCUAUUUGAUUAUGUUUGUCUAUCUCUGAUUCCUUAAAGGGUGAAGUGGGGCCAGUGGGCAUGAAGGGUUUACCAGGCCUUGAAGGGCCCAUGGGGACUGCUGAAAUUCCAGGUCUGAAGGGGGCUCCAGGUGGCACAGGCUUCAGAGGACUAGAUGGAGACAAAGGAGAUGCUGGACCCAAAGGAGACAGGGGUUCUGUUGGUGCGUCAGGGAUCCUAGGCCGUCAGGGUGAGAGGGGUCAGAGUGGCCUCUCAGGCCUUCCUGGUGUCAGAGGUCAAGCUGGCCCCCAAGACAUUCCGGUAAACAUCAGGGUGACACCUGCUAUUCACAGCCUUUAUUAA
rnacentral:lncRNA from 8 species